AGAUUUCACAAAAACCCGCGAGGCUGCAAGUUUGGUUUUCAGAGGUUGUUCAGCAGACCAAGAAAUGCGGAACGCAGACGCUGAAGUGACGCAUUAGUUAAAGAAGGGCUUUGUCUUCUCCGCCCUAUUGCCUUUGCUUGUACGAGUCUCUCUUUUGCAAUUUAUAAGAUUUACUCGAAAGAGUGUUUCAUAGCCACAUCUAAAUUUAUAAUCUUUAUUAAUGAAUUAAAUUUUAAUUUUAAUUAAGAUUAAUUAUAUGAAAAAAUUUUAUUUCUUUAUUUAAUUUUUUUGAUGGGAAUGGAUUGACCUUUUGAUUUUGCAGAAAUCUCUCUACCUAAAAGAAAAUUAUGAAUCAUUAAAAAGAUGGAGAGGAGUUUUGGUAGACUUGAGAAUCCUAACAACUGGAUAAGGAGAGUCAAUUCUAUAUUCCCAAGAAUAAUAUCCCUAUAAUAUUGCCCUCGUUUUCUUCACAGCAUCAUCAUCGCCUGGAAAUUUUCUCCCAUCUCUCUCUGUCUUUGUCUUUCUUGGAUACUCUGCUCUCUGCAUCUCACAAUUCUUUCUCUCUAUCUCUCUCCCUCCAAAGCUCAAGGCCUAAACAACUUCAAAAAUGUCCAAGAACGAGCCAGCGUUCGUUGCUUCACUCGAUCAAGGUACCACCAGCACCAGAUUCAUCAUCUAUGAUCGCCAAGCUCGUUCUGUCGGAUCUCACCAGGUCGAGUUCACCCAGUUUUACCCUGAAGCCGGGUAUUUUCUUUUUCUUUCUUUAUGUAUGUGUAUAUGUGUGUGUGAGGCUGUGUGCAAAUAGGAGUUCUGUUUUGGUACUUGAUGGUCUGAUUGAUCGUGGUAGAUGGGUGGAGCAUGAUGCGAUGGAAAUAUUGGAGAGUGUGCGGGUCUGUAUGGCCAAGGCAGUGGACAAGGCCACGGCUGAUGGCCAUAAUGUUGACGGUGCUUUGAAGGCAAUUGGCCUCACUAAUCAGAGAGAGACUACUGUCCUUUGGAGCAAAUCUACUGGUGCUCCUCUUUAUAAUGCCAUUGUUUGGAUGGAUGCUCGCACCAGUUCCAUUUGCAGGUACCUUUUUUCUUUUCUUCAUUUUUUCUUAUGCGGUUGUUUUUGGGUUUUGGUCAAAUUCCAUUUCUUGUGGUUCAUGAUAAAAAGAUUAUCAUUGAUUCUUAUUCUCGAUGCUAUUUUGUUAUUUCUAUUUAGGAGUUGGGUGUUCGUGGUUCAUUGUAAUUAGUGCUCAAUUUGCUCAAUUUUGCCUUUUUGGGAAUAUAUAUAUUCUAAAAUGGUUUUGCUUGAUGUCUGAUUUGAUUAUUGAUAUUUUGUUAUUGAAAUUUCUUCAACUAUGUUUUGAAUUCCACUGUUCUUCUAAGCAUUUGAUUAAUGUUAUUGGAGAAAUACAUGAUUAUUUUUCCUUUACAUUCAAGGAAAUUGGAGAAAGAUUUAUCAGGAGGAAGAACUCAUUUUGUUCAGACUUGUGGUCUGCCAAUAAGUACUUACUUCAGUGCAUUAAAGGUACUAUGGUUGAUGGAAAAUGUGGAUGCUGUUAAACAGGCUAUUGAAAAAGGAGAUGCUCUGUUUGGAACUAUAGAUACUUGGCUAAUCUGGAAUUUAACUGGUGGAGUGAAGGGCGGCUUGCAUGUGACUGAUGUCUCUAAUGCAUCUCGGACUAUGCUCAUGAAUAUCAGAACUCUUGAUUGGGAUAAACCCACAUUGGAAACCCUCGGAAUUCCUGCUGGAAUUCUGCCCAAAAUUGUAAGCAACUCUGAGAUUAUUGGAAAUGUUGGGAAGGGGUGGCCAGUUACUGGUCUUCCAAUUGCAGGAUGUCUUGGUGACCAGCAUGCUGCAAUGUUAGGACAAGCAUGUAGAAAGGGUGAGGCCAAAAGCACAUAUGGAACUGGUGCUUUCAUACUUCUCAACACCGGCGAGGAUGUAAUUCAGUCAAAGCAUGGGCUUCUAACCACUCUGGCUUUUAAGCUUGGCCCAAAAGCACCUACUAAUUAUGCUUUAGAGGGUUCCAUUGCUAUUGCUGGAGCUGCAGUUCAGUGGCUUAGAGAUAGUCUUGGGAUAAUUAGUAGUGCAAGUGAGAUUGAGGAACUUGCAAAGCAGGUUGAGUCAACUGGUGGCGUGUAUUUUGUGCCUGCUUUUAAUGGACUGUUUGCUCCAUGGUGGCGUGAUGAUGCUCGUGGGGUUUGCAUUGGGAUCACAAGGUUUACAAAUAAGGCUCACAUUGCUCGUGCUGUACUUGAAAGCAUGUGUUUUCAAGUUAAAGAUGUGUUGGAGUCAAUGCACAAAGAUGCAGGGGAGAAAGGUGAACAUAGGAAUGCAAAGGGGGAGUUCUUGCUUAGAGUGGAUGGUGGUGCAACUGUUAACAACCUUCUGAUGCAAUCUCAGGCAGACUUGUUGGGAUGCCCAGUUGUGAGACCAGCUGAUAUAGAGACAACUGCUCUUGGAGCGGCCUAUGCUGCUGGUUUGGCUGUUGGGGUUUGGAAAGAGGAGGAGAUAUUUGCUUCUGGAGAAAAGGUUAAGAUGACGGAUACCAUUUUCCGCCCCUUAAUAGAUGAAAACCUAAGGAAGAAGAAGCUGGAUUCUUGGUGCAAAGCUGUGGAAAGAACUUUUGGCUUGGCUGAUCUUUCAAUAUGAAGAAAUUCAUGGUGGUGCUUUAUGUCCCUUUUCUUCUCUUCUUUUUUUAAUUAUUUCUUGGCCGUUAGUUAUCCAUUUAAAUGACUGAGAUUAAUCCUUAAUAGAUACAUUGUUAAUUCCUGUCUAUGUUUAUAUCGACUCUGAAAUAAUAAAUAUGAUUAGUUGGUUGUUUUCCCUCUCGAUAAUUUAUUCUACAGAAACUUUCUGUUCUGCCUGCGUGCCUUUUUGGCUUAUGUUCAAAGGAGAUUUUGUGUUCAACUGAAAUCUUUACCGCUUGGUAGACAACAGCUUGUUUGCUUACCCCCAUAAAACAAACAUUUAAAACUUUUACUUCUAAGGGUGAAUAACUAAAUAGUUUAGUGAUAAGUGGAUGGAGAAACUAUUUCACCAAAUCAAUCGAUGGAUCAUAAACUGCUUAUGAAGAGUAACAAAAACCAAAUAGCAACAUAGAAGUAACAAAAACCAAAUAUAGUUUGCCAGUAAGUGCUUAUUAAGAGUAAUUUGAUGAUAAUUGAUAACAGGUUUGGUGCUGCAAAGUUGCAGUGCAGCAAAAUUCACAAUCAACUUUCUAUCAAUUUCUUCCAGCUUCAUCUGAAGAAGAUGCUUGCAAGUUUUGUGGUGCAACAAAAGCUCGACAGCUUUUAACCAACGGUAGUCCACAUAGAAACGGAUUUCCUUCGUAGCUGCUGUUAUCAAAUGUUCCAAAUUGUGGUUUGAUGGCUGGAACUUUACCUGAUAAGUUGUUGUGAGACACAUUGAAGAACUUCAGGAAGUGUAGAUCAGUGAGUUCUGGUGGGAUUUCUCCACUCAAGUUGUUAUAAGAAAGAUCCAAGCUCUCUACUUGGCUUAGGUUCGAUAAAGUUCUUGGGAUAGAGCCUCCCAAUUGAUUGUGAGACAAGUUUAAUGCGAAAAUCUGACUUAGUUUUCCUAGUUCAUGCGGAAUUUCACCGCUGAAGUUGUUAGAUGACAUAUCCAAUCCAGACUUGAAAUCCAGUAUGUCACCUUCAUAGGAUCGGGACUCGCUUUUAGUGAGGAAGUCAAUAGCACCAUUUUCAUAUGUAUAACCAUCAUUUGGAUCGUAAACUGCGUACUGAUCCAGCAGGAUGCUUCCAUAUUCAUAAAUUGUACGCUUAAAAUAUGCUGGAAUAAACGAAUAGUAAUUCGACGGUUCCUUGAAAGUGAUGUUGCAGAAGCACCGAGGUAUUGACCCAGAAAAAAGGUUGUUAGACAGAUCCAUGAAGCCUAUUUGAUUCAGUUGACAUAACUGAAUUGGAAUUACACCACUCAGAUGAUUUCCUUUCAGCAAAAGAACUUGUAAAUUGGGAAGUGAAGUUAUUGAAUCAGGAAUCUUGCCAGACAAAUUAUUGUCUCUGAUGUCCAGGAUUGACAGUGUUGAAGAGUUGAGUAUAGAUUCUGGUAUUGAACCUGUGAACUUGUUCCCUUGCAAAUACAAACCCAAUGUAUUUUGUAGUUCCAAGCAAGUAGGUAUUAAUCCUGUCAAAUAAUUGUAAGAAAGGUCUAUAAAACUGAAUGGGAGAUUAAUACAUGGAAGUGGACCUUUCAAUUGAUUGUUUCUCAUUGCAAGUGUCCUCAAAUUUAUCAUGUUGCCUAUCCACAUAGGAAUAUUACCAGAGAUGUUGUUGUUGCUAAUAUCCAAUACGGUAAGCUGAGAGCUUCUCAAGAUCACGUUUGAAAGAGAUCCUGUAAGCUGGUUGUUCUCCAGGUGCAAAAACUCUAUCCAAGUCAAGUUAAAGUGUGCUGAAAAUAUUUGGCCAUGAAAUCUAUUAGCUGACAGCUUCAGAGUCUGCAAAUUGACCAAAUUGGCAACCAGUUCUUUUGGUGCUUUUCCUGAGAAGUUAUUGAAAGACAAGUCCAGUUGCUCUAAGUAGAACAAAUCACCAAUUGAGGAUGGAAUGCUACCUUCAAAAGAAUUUUUGGAUAAAUUCAAAUAAAUUGCAUAGGGAAUCAUCUGCCCUAUGUUUGCCUGAAUUUUUCCAUAUAAUUUAUUGUCUGAUACAUCAAUCCACUGGCUGUUCAUACUGCGAAGUGGUGGCAAAUGAAGCUGACCUACGAAAGAAUUAUUCCUCAAGGAUAGAAAUUCAAGUCUUGUAUUGUUGUCAAGCAGCCAGUCAAGCCUCCCUGUCAAAUUAUUGUGAGAAAGAUCAAGAAUUCUCAACUCAUGCUGGUAGAAGAGAAAUGUAGGAAUAGUGUUGGAGAGCUUGUUCAAAUUACAGUGAGGCAGUCGAAGGACCUUUAACUUAAAUGGUGGAACCCAGCUAGAAUAUUCAGUUUCCACCUCAAAGUUAUCGUUAUCAUUUACAAUCUGAACCACUUCAAGUCUGGAAUGAUUAGAAAAUGAGCUGAAGGAGAAUAAACCUUCGAAAAGAUUAUGACUCAGAUCAAUGUACUCAAGUGAUGUCAUCCCAGAUACCAAAGAUGAAGGUAUCUCUCCUGAGAAAUGGUUUGCUGAAAGAUCUAAUAGUCUAAGAGAUGACAAGUUGCUCAAGCAUGGAGGAAGAGUCCCUUGGAAGAAAUUCUGACUCAGAUCCAUUUCUUCAAGUUUCUGCAGUUGACACAAACCUUGAGUUGGUAAAGAGCCAUUAAGUUGAUUUUUAGACACAGAUAAAGCUCUGAGAGAUGACAGAUGCCCUAUGUUUGGUAGAAUGCUCCCAGUGAAAUAGUUAAUGCUCAAGUCCAAAACUUCCAAACUACUGAAAUUGCCCAAAUAACGAAUUGGCAGAGUUCCAUUCAGUUCAUUGAAUUGCAGAAUAAGGACCUUCAAGUUGCAGAGUUCAGCAAGAUCUUGCUCAGAUAGUUGACCUGCUAUAAAAUUAUUGUGCAGGUCCAAUGACUUCAGGGCUGAGAAUUUACCCAAAACCUUCAACACUUGUUUGUCAAGCAAGUUCCAGCUUAAGUCUAUAUGCUCUAGCUUGUUCAGUUUAGAAAAACUUUUGGAAUCUGCAAGUUCUUCAUUGUCAAUGAACUCAGCUAUUGCAUUAUAAGAUAAAUUAAGGCUUAUAAGCUCCUUGAAAGGCUGAAACUGAGAAACGUUAAGGUACCAAAUACUCAUAUCUUCAUAAUAACCAUCAAAAGUUAUUUGCCUCGUAUCAUUGAGAGAGAGUUUGAUCACGUGACCGGUGGUGGAGUUGCACGUGACUCUUUCCCACCGACAGCAGUCACUGCUUCUAUCAUGAAUCCAUGAAGGCAGCAGCAGGUCUGCAUCAUCCCCAUUGGAAUGGACAAAUGCUUUGAAAUCUAAGAGAGCCAACCUCUCCUCUUCGAAGCAACCGUAGUAGCCAUGGAUUUGGAGUGAAACUACGAAGCCCAAGAAGAAAAUUUUCACCAAGAACCAGUCCAU
rnacentral:misc_RNA from 1 species